GAAGGUAUAGCUCAGUGGUAGAGUCCAUGUUUAUCAUGCAUGAGGCCCUAGGUUCAAUACCCAUUACCUCCA
rnacentral:tRNA from 1 species